rnacentral:rRNA from 1 species
AGCGAACGCUGGCGGCAGGCCUAACACAUGCAAGUCGAACGAACUCUUCGGAGUUAGUGGCGGACGGGUGAGUAACACGUGGGAACGUGCCUUUUGGGUCGGAAUAACUCAGGGAAACUUGUGCUAAUACCGAAUGUGCCCUUCGGGGGAAAGAUUUAUCGCCAUUAGAGCUGCCCGCGUCUGAGUAGCUAUUUGGUAGGGUAACGGAUCACCAAGGCAACGAUCAGCAGCUGGCCUGAGAGGGUGAUCAGCCACACUGGAACUGAGACGCGGCCCAGACUCCGACGGGAGGCAGCAGGAGGGAAUCGUCCGCAAUGGGCGAAAGCCUGACGGAGCAACGCCGCGUGAGUGAUGAAGGUCUUCGGAUCGUAAAACGCUGUUAUGAGGGAAGAACAAAGGGGUAAGUAACUAUGCACGUCUUGACGGUACCUAAUCAGAAAGCCACGGCUAACUACGUG